UCCCAUCCUCUCCUUGUCGCUGCAGGAUCCUGACCCCACUGGUCUACCAUGGAAAGACUGCUUCUGUGCCUCUUGUGCAUUGGCGUCGCCGUGAGAGCCCAGAUCUGCCCGAAGCGCUGUGUCUGCCAGAUCCUCUCUCCCAACCUUGCCACGCUCUGUGCCAAGAAGGGGCUCCUGUUUGUGCCCCCCAACAUCGACAGGCGGACGGUGGAGCUGCGGCUGGCCGACAACUUUGUCACCAGCAUCAAGCGGAAGGACUUUGCCAACAUGAGCAGCCUGGUGGACCUGACGCUCUCCCGGAACACCAUCAGCUUCGUCACGCCGCACGCCUUCGCCGACCUGCGCAACCUGCGGGCCUUGCACUUGAACAGCAACCGGCUGAGCAAGAUCACCCACGACACGCUGAGCGGGCUUUCCAACCUGCACCACCUGAUCCUGAACAACAACCAGCUGACGCUGAUCUCCUCCACCGCCUUCGACGACGUCCUGGCCCUGGAGGAGCUGGACCUGUCCUACAACAACCUGGAGACCAUCCCCUGGGAGGCGGUGGAGAAGAUGGUCAGCCUGCACACCCUCAGCCUGGACCACAACAUGAUCGACCACAUCCCCAAGGGGACCUUCUCCCACCUCCACAAGAUGACCCGGCUGGACGUGACCUCCAACAAGCUGCACAAACUGCCCCCGGAUCCGCUGUUCCAGCGGGCGCAGGUCUUGGCCACCUCGGGGAUCAUCAGCCCCUCCACCUUCGCCCUGAGCUUCGGGGGGAACCCCCUGCAUUGCAACUGCGAACUCCUGUGGCUGAGGCGCCUCUCCAGGGAGGACGACCUGGAGACCUGCGCCUCGCCCCCCCUCCUCUCCGGCCGCUACUUCUGGUCAGUGCCCGAGGAGGAGUUCCUGUGCGAGCCCCCGCUCAUCACGCGGCACACGCACGAGAUGAGGGUGCUGGAGGGCCAGCGGGCCAUCCUGAGGUGCAAAGCCCGGGGUGACCCCGAGCCCACCAUCCACUGGAUUUCCCCCGAGAGCAAGCUGAUUUCCAACGCCACCCGCUCCCUGGUGUACGAGAACGGGACGCUGGACAUCCACAUCACCACCAUGAAGGACACGGGAAACUUCACCUGCAUCGCUUCCAACCCGGCCGGGGAGGCCACCCAGUCGGUCUAUCUCCACAUCAUCAAGCUGCCUCACAUUGUGAACAGCACCAACCACAUCCACGAGCCGGACCCGGGCUCCUCGGACAUCUCGACCUCCACUAAAUCUGGGUCGAACGCCAGCACGAGCAACGGGGAGGCCAAAAUUAGCCCGGACAAGAAGGUGGUGGUGGCCGAAGCCACCUCGUCCACCGCCUUGCUUAAGUUCCAUUUCCAAAGGAACAUCCCUGGGAUACGUAUGUUCCAAAUCCAGUAUAACGGGACGUAUGACGACUCCCUGGUUUACAGGAUGAUCCCCCCCACGAGCAAGACCUUCCUGGUGAACAACCUGGCCGCCGGCACGAUGUACGACCUGUGCGUCUUGGCGAUCUACGACGACGGCAUCACCUCCCUGACGGCCACCCGCGUGGUGGGCUGCAUCCAGUUCACCACCGAGCAGGAUUAUGUCCGCUGCCAUUUCAUGCAGUCCCAGUUCCUGGGGGGGACCAUGAUCAUCAUCAUUGGUGGCAUCAUCGUGGCCUCCGUCCUGGUCUUCAUCAUCAUCCUCAUGAUCCGCUACAAGGUGUGUAACAACGGCGGUGGGCACCAGAAGGCCGCCAAGGUCAGCAACGUUUACUCCCAGACCAAUGGGGCCCAGGGGUGCAGCGGAGCCGUGGCCCAAUCUGGGUCCAAGCAGGCCAUGGGGCGCGAGGAGAGCCUCCAGUGCUGCAAGGUCGGCGGCGAGGGGGCAGCCCCCUCGUCCUCAGAGGCCGGCUCUUCCCGCCAGGACUCCUCCUUUCCCUCCGCCGCUACCUCCGCCGCGUGGACUUCCGCCCCUUCGGCUUCCCAAAAGCUGAAGCGCAAGCCCACGCCAAAGUCCAGCAGCGAGCCGACGCCGACUGGGGAAGGGGCCGCCGCCAGCCUGGAGUCCCACCAGAACACGAACCGCAACAACUCCACCGCCCUGCAGUCGCCGUCGGCUGGCGGGGUCCCGGACUGUGGGGCCACGGGCCCCCCUCUGUACAAAAGAGCACAAGCCAAGCCAAGUAAGUUCCUCACUUUGCCGGCCGACCCGUCCCGGGCAAAGCGCAGGUACUCCCUGAACGGAGAAUUCAUGGAAUACCGUUGUUACAUUAACUCCUCCUCGUCUCCGGCUGGAUUUUGGUCUAAGAGGAGUUUGUCUAUGAAUGGGAUGCUGAUGCGGAGAGACGGUGGCGGCGCUGCCGGCGAGGCGGGGAGCGGCCGAGCGACUUUCUCGAGUUCUGAGUGGAUAUUGGAGAGCACUGUGUGAGAGCUACGGUGAUGAUGGUGGUGUGUGUGUGUGUUUGUUUUUUCUCUUUUUUUAAAUUAAGAAAAAGAAAAGAGAAAGAAAAAAGAAAGAAGCACGGAGAAACCCUCUCCCGUCAAACACUGUCCGAGAACUCCUCUCCCUCUUAAGCCGUUGGCGUUUCUCACCCUCUCUCGUGUGUCCACGCAGAGUUAAGCACACAACUUCCACACAGUCUUCUUGGGUCUUAUUUGAUUUUAAGUAUAACAUCGGAAGGCAAAUCAUUUUAAUGAGCUCAUUCAAAAAAAGAGUGGGGAUUAAGGGGGGGAAAAGCAUGAAACGACACCCGUGCGGAUUGGCCUUCUUGGCCCACGGUAGCCGGCCAGCCGAUGGAGGACAAAGGAGGAAGGGGCGGAAAAGGCCCUUUGUAAACAAUCUGGCUGCUGCCUUCACACUGACCACAACAGACCACUUAAUGGAUUUGGAUGCAAAAAAGCCGGCAGCAGCCUGAGCAGCGCGCGCCCACCACCGGAAAGGGCGGCUCCUCGCGUUUGCCCACGACAAAAAUCCAUCCGAUUUC